rnacentral:sRNA from 1 species
CUCGCCCACUCUUUACCGUUCCGUUACCACAACGUAAUGUCCGAUGCCUUACAGAUAUAGGGUGAGAAUAGCCAGCGGCUAUCAAUGCAGAGUGUAAGGUAAAAUACAGCUUUAUUGAAUGUGACAAAUCCAUCAUGUACGAGGCGGCACCACUGCACCAUAAGGAUCACCUUCUCUCGGUGCUGGAAGUAGGAUGGAAAGAUCCCAACGCUUGUUGGGAUGUACGGGGUACGGGACAAUAGAGAGCAGGCGGGAAGAAAGGAGGGGAGCGAAUGGUGAAAAGAAGGAGGGAUACUGAUUAAAAUGAAGACGGUUUUGAUACAAG